rnacentral:rRNA from 1 species
CACGCCCUAAACGAUGAUGAUUAAGUGUCGGGCCUUGUGCUCGGUGCUGUAGCAAACGCGUUAAAUCAUCCACCUGAGGAGUACGGCCGCAAGGUUAAAACUCAAAUGAAUAGACGGGGACCCACACAAGCAGUGGAUCAUGCGGUUUAAUUCGAUAAUAAACGGGGAAUCUUACCCAGGCUUGACAUCUAGAGAAUCUUGCAGAAAUGUAGGAGUGCCCGCAAGGGAACUCUAAGACAGGCGC